rnacentral:rRNA from 1 species
GACGAACGCUGGCGGCGUGCUUAACACAUGCAAGUCGUACGGUAAGGCCCUUUCGGGGGUACACGAGUGGCGAACGGGUGAGUAACACGUGAGUAACCUGCCCACAACUUUGGGAUAACGCUAGGAAACUGGUGCUAAUACUGGAUAUGUGCUCCUGCUGCAUGGUGGGGGUUGGAAAGCUCCGGCGGUUGUGGAUGGACUCGCGGCCUAUCAGCUUGUUGGUGGGGUAGUGGCCUACCAAGGCGGCGACGGGUAGCCGGCCUGAGAGGGUGACCGGCCACAUUGGGACUGAGAGACGGCCCAGACUCCUACGGGAGGCAGCAGGGGGGAAUAUUGCACAAUGGGCGCAAGCCUGAUGCAGCAACGCCGCGUGCGGGAUGACGGCCUUCGGGUUGUAAACCGCUUUCAGCAAGGACGAAGCUUUUUGUGACGGUACCUGCAGAAGAAGCACCGGCUAACUACGUG